rnacentral:misc_RNA from 1 species
UCCUACUUUCGCAGGCAGUCUUGCCAGAGUGCCCCUAAUGGGUAGCAACUGACAACAGGAGUUGCGCUCGUUAAAGGACUUAACCUAACAUCUCACGACACGAGCUGACGACAGCCAUGCAGCACCUGUGUAUAUGCUUGAGUAAACAAGAGACCGUGUUUCUACGGCUGUCAUAUACAUGUCAAACCCAGGUAAGGUUCCUCGCGUAGUAUCGAAUUAAACCACAUGUUCCACCGCUUGUGCGGACCCCCGUCAAUUUCUUUAAGUUUUAAUCUUGCGACCGUACUCCUCAGGUGGAUCACUUAUCGCGUUAGCUGCGACACUCAGCCCAAAUGGCCGAACGUCUAGUGAUCAUCGUUUACAGCGUGGACUAC